rnacentral:rRNA from 1 species
UUGCCGGCGAGCGUGGCGGACGGGUGAGUAAUGCCUGGGAAAUUUGCCCAGUCGAGGGGGGUAACAGUUGGAAACGACUGCUAAUACCGUAUACGCCCUUACGGGGGAAAGCAGGGGACCUUCGGGCCUUGCGCGAUUGGAUAUGCCCAGGUGGGAUUAGCUAGUUGGUGAGGUAAUGGCUCACCAAGGCGACGAUCCCUAGCUGGUCUGAGAGGAUGAUCAGGCACACUGGAAACUGAGACACGGUCCAGACUCCUACGGGAGGCAGCAGUGGGGAAUAUUGGCACAAUGGGGGAAACCCUGAUGCAGCCAUGCCGCGUGAUGUGCANAGAAGGCCUUUCGGGUUGUAAAGCGACUUUCGAGACUGAAGGCAGGANACAGGUUGUUGGUAAUACCCAGAUCAGCUGUGACGUUACUCGCAGAAAAGCACCGGCUAACUCCGUGCCAGUCANGCCAGCGGUGANAUACCGGUAGGGUGCAAUGCGUUAGAUCUGGAAUUACUUGGGCGUAGACAGGCAGCAUCGCAAGGCGGUUGGAUAAGUCUACAUGUGAAAGCCCCGGGCUCGAACCUGGGAAUUGCAUNUCAAAACUGNCCAGCUA